GCCUAGCUGGCUCAGUUGGUAGAGCAUGGGACUCUUGAUCUCAGGGUUGUGAGUUCAAGCCCCAGGUUGAGUG
rnacentral:tRNA from 1 species